AUGGAGCAAGCGGCCAUGUGAGAGAAACUGAGAGCAGCCUCAGCCAACAGCCAGCAGGGAACAGAAUGCUGCAAACAGCCACAGAGUGAGCUUGUAAACAGGUCCUUCCCCUGUUGAACAUCCAGAUGAGACUGCAAACCGUGGACCACCGACACCUUGAUGGCAGCCUUGUGAAAGACCAUGAAGCAGAGGAUCCAACUAAGCCAUGCCCAGGCUCCUGACCCACAGAAACUCAAACCGGUAGAGAGGCAGCAUGCACCCCAGCAAAGAGAGUGGCCCUGCCACCAAGCUUCUCGGGGAACCACACGCAACAUCUCAGCACCCAGCUACCAUCACUUUGAACUGUGUCUUCCCCUGAACCUCCCACCACCCCAGCCUCCAGUGACUCAGCCUAACACACCUUCUUCACCACCUCUCAGCCUUCCAGCAUGCUUGCUGU